rnacentral:lncRNA from 1 species
GGUCGACGGGAGGGCUUGUGGACCGCGUGGACAUUUUCCAUGAGUUUCUCAUGGUCCACGACACUAUUUCAUAGACCGGAGCACGAUCGAAGGGCCCAGGUGACUCCCGAUCUUGAUCCGACGGUCUGGGACGUGAUUUGGGUUGAUUAAGGACUCCUAAACCUAAUCUAAACCCUGUUAAGCCCUUUAAAAACCCUAUGAGGCAAUAGAGAAGGAGCGUGGUUCGGAUUUUUGCGUCGUACGGAGCCGUACGGAACCCAAGAGAAGAGAGAGGCGGAAGCACUGAGAGAGAAGGAGCAGGAGGCUCCUGGACAACGGUCGUCAGGUACUUCAGGGGUUCAGGGGUCUUCCAAGAGAGAGAGAGCUUUUGUGAAGGAAACUUCUAGUGAGAGAGAAUUGGGUGUACAAAAGUUGAGAGUGAGGUCUCCUCUUGUAAAAUUUUUUUUUCUUAGUGAAGUUUGCAUGCCCCAUGGAGGCGAGCCCUUUUGUGGCUGAUCCACGUAUUUUGAUUAUUUUGUUUUGUUUCUUCUUUCUUCCUGUUGCAUCNNN